GCUGAAGAAAGCAAUUCAGGAGCUUAUUAAUGUAGGUAAAAUCAUCGUACAAAAUUCAGAUGCACCGGACAGCAGCCAAAAUCCAUCGCUUGUGCACAAUGAUGUAGACAUGAUGGGUAUGAUUUGUUGUGAAAAGGAACGUGACAAUUAUUUGAGAACCUUGAAGACCCAAAAAUAACUUGUUGAGGAUGAUCUGAUGAAAGUUUGUAAAGUUCCUAAUGAUGUUAAUGUAGAACUCAGUUACUAAGAUGUUGAGCUUGGUAAUGGGAAAGACGCUUCAUCUCUUGGCCGGCUGGAGAGAAGUUUUGGUGGUCUAUUUUGUUGUCAUUUCUGUUGUCCGGGUUAUUUUCAGGGUUGUAACCCCGAUAUUGUUU
rnacentral:lncRNA from 1 species